GGCUGAAGUGGUGAGCAUAACUGCCUUCCAAGCAGUUGACCUGGGUUCGUUUCCCAGCCA
rnacentral:tRNA from 1 species